UCAAUAGUGAUCUCUGUUUGACUGCAUUAGUAAUGUUGAAGGCAAAACAUGUUACGAUCAGAGAUGCUUCGAGGAUGACAGCUACCCACAGUGGGCUCCAGAAAUAUUGGCAUCCUUAGUAAAGAUGAGACGAUAGAAAAACUUUUGCAACCUUAUAACAAUUUGUGGAUAUAUAAAUCCUGACAUAUUUGGUGACCACAAUACCCAACUAGCAUCUGCAGUUCUCUGACUGUGAUUCUAGUUUUCUAUCAUGAAGACACAUUUCUUGAUGAAACAUCAGGACCCUUAGAUUAACCACAUGAACCCAUAAGCCAUCCUAGGUGUAUAUGACUUCCUUCUUUUAGACGAAUAAAGUCAGAGUUAUAGUUAUUAAAUAAUGUCAAGGCUCGUAUACAUAUUACAAAAAUAAUUUGUGCAAAACCUAUUGUCUAAAAACAAAGCUAAAACAAAUAGAAAUACACGAAAGAAACCCACAGCAGGGAAAUGAGCAGCUCCCGUCACCUGCUUUUGAGCGUCAUCUGGAGGACAGCAGUGGUGAAGCAUCCUCAAAUACACAUACACAUCUCGAUACAAGUACAUACAUUACAUUUACAUGCAUGUCAUAUCGAGCGAAAAACAUUUAAAAAAGUAUACAUGAGUAUACCAAAUGAAUAAAUAAUACAUAACAUAAUCAUGCAUUUUUAUUUAUUUACUUAUUUUUGGCGUUUUUGUCUUUAUUGUUUUGUUUGCCUUUGAACUUGACAGUCUGACUGUGUCCAACUCAAUGCAACGGCCACCUAAUGUUAAAUGCUGUUUAUGAGAUUAAUGCUGAUGUUCCUUUUGGAGUAUUUUUCCUGCGUUGUAGCCUUUGCGCGUACACACGUUGUUCUCCUCGCGUGAGCGCGCAUGCGCAGAUGUAAAAGGGCGAGGUCCGCUCUGUUGCUGCUUGUUACAGAGCACCAUCUUGUAUAAUCCGUUUCGUUUUGAUUGUAGCGUUUAUCAGAUUGUUUAUUUUGCUGAUUUAUAUUCCAUCCUUGACACGUAUGCGAAGACUGCGACCUGUUCAUGAGGAUUACCAGUUCUGUGCUUUGGGUGGUUUCUUCUCGCCCCGUCACACCAACCCAUUCCGUGUUCCAGUAGAGUUUUGUUCAACAAAGUCUGCUACAAAGGUGUUAGUCCCUCCAUAGGAUAAGAAGGAGGCUUGUGCUCCUGAAAAUUAUGAAAGAAGACUAAAAAUGUAAAAAUAUGCAAUCCACAUUAAUUCUGCAGAAAUCAGAUAAAUUCACAUUAUUUCUGGUCUAGAUAUAACAGAUGAUACAUAUCUCGUGUGUCGUUUGAUCUCAGCAACAAUGGCUUCACCGAGAAAACACCGUCGGCACAGAAGCAUGGAGGAACCAGUUUUCAUGUCAUCUGAUGUUAUUAAUCUCGAAGAGGAAUUGAAUAGAACUCAAAAGGACAUUUUCCCAGAAUGCAGCAAGCAUUUGGAGAAAAUUCGUCAUCUCACCAAUGACUUUGCAAAUGAUCAUGGUCUUGGUAUUUAUGCACGCAGAGGAGGACAAAUAGCUGGAGGAAUCGCGAUCAUAUUGUCUGCAUUAGCUUUAUUUUUUAUUGAAGAAGAGGUUUUUGAAAUUGUUGCUGCAGCAGGGGCAGCUACGGCUGUAGUUUCUCUAUUAUGUGCUGCUUUUGUACAAAUCAGGAUAACACAUCAGAAGAAAAACUUAAAACAAUCUAUUGAAGAGGAAUCUAAGGGAUUUCAGGAUAAAAUGAACCAUUUUAUUGACAUCUUGGAAAAAAACGGUCAACGCACUGAGGAAAUAUUGAGAGACGCUUUACUCUCAGACCGCAAUGCCCAGGCAUUAAGUGAACACUUGUCCUACUGCUUUGAAAAAGGGCAACUAUUUCAGGAACAAGACAGGAGUAAAGCUGGUGACCAGAUGUCUAAAAUUGUGCAUUUGUCUGAAAACAUUUCAGAAAUGAUCGCCAAGAUUAAUUCUGUGCCUGAUAUCCUCAAAGAGAUUAUUGAAGACAACGAGAGGCAACGUGCCAAACCUGCAAAACCCAGACAGGAACAAAUAAAUAAAAGAGAGUUUAAGGAGAAAGCAGAGAAAUUCAUCAAUGACAUGCAGAAAGGAAUAUGUAUCAUAAAAAAUAGUGUUAAAGAUAUCAACCAGUCAAUAGACAGUAUAUCAGAUAUUUUGAGUUGAACCUUUCAAAACAUAAAAGUAUUAACUGCUGAGACGAAACCUUCCACCUGACAGAGAACAACACAAAUAGUGACCAAUAUUACAUUGCCGAUUUGCAUAAUUUCAGUGUUUCAUUGUCCAACAACAAUUAUUGUUAGCAAAGUCAAAAGUAUAUAUAAAGUAUAUACUUUUUCCCCCAGAUUGUUAUGUUUAUGCUCUGCAUUAUUGAUCUAUAGUGGAUGGUGCUGUUGUUAUUUUGUGUAUAUUUUGUACUUUACAUUUAUCCCUUAAAAAAACUGUAAUAAAAUGUACACACAAAAAUGUGUUUUAAUGUAAA